rnacentral:rRNA from 1 species
UUAAGCGACUAAGCGUACACGGUGGAUGCCCUGGCAGUCAGAGGCGAUGAAGGACGUGCUAAUCUGCGAUAAGCGUCGGUAAGGUGAUAUGAACCGUUAUAACCGGCGAUUUCCGAAUGGGGAAACCCAGUGUGAUUCGUCACAUUAUCAUUAACUGAAUCCAUAGGUUAAUGAGGCGAACCGGGGGAACUGAAACAUCUAAGUACCCCGAGGAAAAGAAAUCAACCGAGAUUCCCCCAGUAGCGGCGAGCGAACGGGGAGCAGCCCAGAGCCUGAAUCAGUGUGUGUGUUAGUGGAAGCGUCUGGAAAGGCGCGCGAUACAGGGUGACAGCCCCGUACACAAAAAUGCACAUGCUGUGAGCUCGAUGAGUAGGGCGGGACACGUGGUAUCCUGUCUGAAUAUGGGGGGACCAUCCUCCAAGGCUAAAUACUCCUGACUGACCGAUAGUGAACCAGUACCGUGAGGGAAAGGCGAAAAGAACCCCGGCGAGGGGAGUGAAAAAGAACCUGAAACCGUGUACGUACAAGCAGUGGGAGCACGCUUAGGCGUGUGACUGCGUACCUUUUGUAUAAUGGGUCAGCGACUUAUAUUCUGUAGCAAGGUUAACCGAAUAGGGGAGCCGAAGGGAAACCGAGUCUUAACUGGGCGUUAAGUUGCAGGGUAUAGACCCGAAACCCGGUGAUCUAGCCAUGGGCAGGUUGAAGGUUGGGUAACACUAACUGGAGGACCGAACCGACUAAUGUUGAAAAAUUAGCGGAUGACUUGUGGCUGGGGGUGAAAGGCCAAUCAAACCGGGAGAUAGCUGGUUCUCCCCGAAAGCUAUUUAGGUAGCGCCUCGUGAAUUCAUCUCCGGGGGUAGAGCACUGUUUCGGCAAGGGGGUCAUACCCGACUUACCAACCCGAUGCAAACUGCGAAUACCGGAGAAUGUUAUCACGGGAGACACACGGCGGGUGCUAACGUCCGUCGUGAAGAGGGAAACAACCCAGACCGCCAGCUAAGGUCCCAAAGUCAUGGUUAAGUGGGAAACGAUGUGGGAAGGCCCAGACAGCCAGGAUGUUGGCUUAGAAGCAGCCAUCAUUUAAAGAAAGCGUAAUAGCUCACUGGUCGAGUCGGCCUGGCGCGGAAGAUGUAACGGGGCUAAACCAUGCACCGAAGCUGCGGCAGCGACGCUGAUGCGUUGUUGGGUAGGGGAGCGUUCUGUAAGCCUGCGAAGGUGUGCUGUGAGGCAUGCUGGAGGUAUCAGAAGUGCGAAUUGCUGACAUAAGUAACGAUAAAGCGGGUGAAAAGCCCGCUCGCCGGAAGACCAAGGGUUCCUGUCCAACGUUAAUCGGGGCAGGGUGAGUCGACCCCUAAGGCGAGGCCGAAAGGCGUAGUCGAUGGGAAACAGGUUAAUAUUCCUGUACUUGGUGUUACUGCGAAGGGGGGACGGAGAAGGCUAUGUUGGCCGGGCGACGGUUGUCCCGGUUUAAGCGUGUAGGCUGGUUUUCCAGGCAAAUCCGGAAAAUCAAGGCUGAGGCGUGAUGACGAGGCACUACGGUGCUGAAGCAACAAAUGCCCUGCUUCCAGGAAAAGCCUCUAAGCAUCAGGUAACAUCAAAUCGUACCCCAAACCGACACAGGUGGUCAGGUAGAGAAUACCAAGGCGCUUGAGAGAACUCGGGUGAAGGAACUAGGCAAAAUGGUGCCGUAACUUCGGGAGAAGGCACGCUGAUAUGUAGGUGAAGUCCCUCGCGGAUGGAGCUGAAAUCAGUCGAAGAUACCAGCUGGCUGCAACUGUUUAUUAAAAACACAGCACUGUGCAAACACGAAAGUGGACGUAUACGGUGUGACGCCUGCCCGGUGCCGGAAGGUUAAUUGAUGGGGUCAGCGCAAGCGAAGCUCUUGAUCGAAGCCCCGGUAAACGGCGGCCGUAACUAUAACGGUCCUAAGGUAGCGAAAUUCCUUGUCGGGUAAGUUCCGACCUGCACGAAUGGCGUAAUGAUGGCCAGGCUGUCUCCACCCGAGACUCAGUGAAAUUGAACUCGCUGUGAAGAUGCAGUGUACCCGCGGCAAGACGGAAAGACCCCGUGAACCUUUACUAUAGCUUGACACUGAACAUUGAGCCUUGAUGUGUAGGAUAGGUGGGAGGCUUUGAAGUGUGGACGCCAGUCUGCAUGGAGCCGACCUUGAAAUACCACCCUUUAAUGUUUGAUGUUCUAACGUUGACCCGUAAUCCGGGUUGCGGACAGUGUCUGGUGGGUAGUUUGACUGGGGCGGUCUCCUCCUAAAGAGUAACGGAGGAGCACGAAGGUUGGCUAAUCCUGGUCGGACAUCAGGAGGUUAGUGCAAUGGCAUAAGCCAGCUUGACUGCGAGCGUGACGGCGCGAGCAGGUGCGAAAGCAGGUCAUAGUGAUCCGGUGGUUCUGAAUGGAAGGGCCAUCGCUCAACGGAUAAAAGGUACUCCGGGGAUAACAGGCUGAUACCGCCCAAGAGUUCAUAUCGACGGCGGUGUUUGGCACCUCGAUGUCGGCUCAUCACAUCCUGGGGCUGAAGUAGGUCCCAAGGGUAUGGCUGUUCGCCAUUUAAAGUGGUACGCGAGCUGGGUUUAGAACGUCGUGAGACAGUUCGGUCCCUAUCUGCCGUGGGCGCUGGAGAAUUGAGGGGGGCUGCUCCUAGUACGAGAGGACCGGAGUGGACGCAUCACUGGUGUUCGGGUUGUCAUGCCAAUGGCACUGCCCGGUAGCUAAAUGCGGAAGAGAUAAGUGCUGAAAGCAUCUAAGCACGAAACUUGCCCCGAGAUGAGUUCUCCCUGACUCCUUGAGAGUCCUGAAGGAACGUUGAAGACGACGACGUUGAUAGGCCGGGUGUGUAAGCGCAGCGAUGCGUUGAGCUAACCGGUACUAAUGAACCGUGAGGCUUAACCUU